rnacentral:rRNA from 1 species
GACGAACGCUGGCGGCGUGCUUAACACAUGCAAGUCGAACGGAAAGGCCCUGCUUUUGUGGGGUGCUCGAGUGGCGAACGGGUGAGUAACACGUGAGUAACCUGCCCCUGACUUUGGGAUAACUUCAGGAAACUGGGGCUAAUACCGGAUAGGAGCUCCUGCUGCAUGGUGGGGGUUGGAAAGUUUCGGCGGUUGGGGAUGGACUCGCGGCUUAUCAGCUUGUUGGUGGGGUAGUGGCUUACCAAGGCUUUGACGGGUAGCCGGCCUGAGAGGGUGACCGGCCACAUUGGGACUGAGAUACGGCCCAGACUCCUACGGGAGGCAGCAGUGGGGAAUAUUGCACAAUGGGCGGAGGCCUGAUGCAGCAACGCCGCGUGCGGGAUGACGGCCUUCGGGUUGUAAACCGCUUUCGCCUGUGACGAAGCGUGAGUGACGGUAAUGGGUAAAGAAGCACCGGCUAACUACGUG